UAAUGUAACUUCAGAUAAUAACAGAAUUCAGAAUCUGAUUGUUUAUUAUCAGUCUGCUGAGCCACAGGCUCCAAAAUAUUGAAGUGCUCUGAAAAUUCUUGAAUUAACCCUGAAAUCUGAACAUGUUUUCUCUUAAGGACAAUGUCGUACAGAAAUUGUUUGGAAAACAGCAUCCAGAAGCAUCUGUGCUGUUUCCAGAGUAUCUGAGAUGCAGGGUUUUUACUUACUGGAGCAGUGCAGUUUGACAGGGGGAAGGCAGAGUUCCUUGGCAAUAUCUGUGUUCUUGAUUUUCAGCGCUUCAUCAACCUGAAACACAGGCAGAGGUGGUCAAAGGCCCUGUUGUUUGUUGUUUGUAUCAGUGUCACACACUGUCCCCACUUGGCCUGUUUCAAGUCUGUUCAUCUUCUAUCACAACACUGAGGUGCAUUUGCUGCUGGCAGAAAUGACCUAAAAGUUCUCUAUAAUUAAAAUUUCUGCCAUCAGCCUGGUUUUGCUCAUUGCAUAAGACACAAAGAAAUUUCCUGGUGGAAUUGUUCCAUGUGGAGGUGACACUUGGGGACAUGGUGAGUGGUGGAGUUGCCAGUGCUAGGGGAACAGUCAGACUUGAUGUUCUUAGAGGGCUUUUCCAACCUUAAUGAUUCUCUGAUGGUUGGUGAAAAAGACAAUUAUUGCCCUAUAAGUGAAACCCUGACAGUGCUGGCAGUCACUGCUAUAGCACAGAGCAGUGCAGGGACUCCCUGGAGAGCAUUUCACCAUGAUCCCAGCAGAGAACACAGACACAUGGGAAGCCCUGCAGCCUUCCCGGAGCUCCCUCACCGUUUUCCCUUUGACCCACUCCGUGGCCAGCGAGCUGGAGGCGAUGGCUGAGCCACAGCCGAACGUUUUGAAGCGAGCGUCCACAAUCUUGCCGUUCUCGUCCACUUCCACCUGCGGGAGCAUUUUGGGGACACUUCAGUGCCCGGUUCAGCUCAGCCAGGUCCCCCCAGCCGGGCCCGCGGGGAGCGGGACUGGCCCUGCCCCAGGCACAGGACACGGGCAGGGCGGGCAUGAGGGAAGCCCAUGAGGGAACACGGGCAGCUUUAACCCUGGCAACAGCCCCGUGUGACCCCACCCAGGUGCCAACGGGUCCCCAAGGUCACCUGCAGCUUCAUGACGUCGCCGCAGGCCGGAGCGCCCACCAGGCCGGUACCCACGUUCUUGGAAUUGCGGUCGAGGGAGCCGACGUUGCGCGGGUUCUCGUAGUGAUCCACCACCUGCCAAGACACAGCGUCAGCGAGGGUCACCCCGCUCCCCCGUCCCUCCCCGCGUCACGCUCGCCCCUCACCUUCUUGUGGUAGCCCAGCACGGCCGGGGCCGGCCCGGCCCGGGGCCGCAGCAGCACCGCCCCCGCCGCCCUCAGCGCCGCCAUCUUGACUGAGGGGAGGGGCGGUGUCUGCGUGCCUUUUAUAACCUCGGGUUUGGCCACGCCCCCUAGCACGCCCCGACCACGCCCCUUCGUCUCCGGAGCUCGCGUCUCACCCCGGUCAUUCGUUGGCCGCGCAGACCGCGCGAGCGCUGGAGGCCGCGCUGCGACUGAAACGAUCAGUAAAUAAAUAAACGAUGGGAACGGCCUUUCGGUCGCGCCAGGGUUUCCAUCGCGACACACGGCGCGCGUGCGGCACGCGGCGCCACACUCAACAUGGCGGGCGCGCGGCGCCGCGCACGCCACGGACCCUCUCGGAGGCCCCCUGAUGGCCACACAGCGGGGUGCCCACGGCGCUGCCUGCGCCACGGACCAGAAGACAAAGGGUCGCGCCGCGGCCGCACUCGGCGCAGCGUGGCCCCGGUGCGCGGGCGAGCGCGGGGCGGGGCGGGCUGAGGAUCCCGGUUCUUCCCGGCCGGUUCGGCCGGCGGUGGGGCGGAGCAGCGGGACGGGCGGCGCGGGGGCAGCCGCGGCGGCCGGCGGAGCGCGGCAGGCGGCGAGCGGAGCUGCAUAAGAUGGCGGCGGCGGGAGCUGAGGCGGCGGCCGAGGAGGAGAAGCGGCUGCCGGAGGGAGACCCCGAGUCGGGCGGGGACUCGGACGAUGAAGGCGACUCGGAUUCGUCUGGGGACGGCGAGGAUGAGGAGAAGGAGAACGAGGCCGAGAUCCAGCGGCUGGAGGAGCAGCUGUCCAUCAAUGCUUUUGAUUACAACUGUCACUUGGAUCUGAUCAAGCUGCUCCGGCAGGAGGGAGAGCUGGUGAAGCUCCGCAGAGCUCGGCAGAAGAUGAGCGAGCUUUUCCCCCUCACUGAAGAAAUUUGGCUGGACUGGUUGAAGGAUGAGAUAAAAAUGGCUUCAGAGGUCUCAGAGAGAGAGAAGGUUUAUGAGCUGUUUGAAAGAGCUGUCAAAGAUUACAUCUGUCCUGAAAUCUGGCUGGAAUAUGCCCAGUAUUCCAUUGGGGGCAUUGGGCAGGAGGGAGGCAUCGAGAGGGUCCGGUCCAUCUUCGAGCGGGCUCUGACGGCUGUGGGGCUGCACGUGACCAAGGGCACGGCCCUGUGGGAAGCCUACAGGGAAUUUGAGAAUGCCAUCCUGGAAACAGCACAGCCAGCUCCUGGCAGCAUUCCAUCCCCGGAGCAGCAGCAGGUGCUGUGCAGCCAGCUCGAGAAGAUCCACACGCUCUUCCGGCGCCAGCUGGGGAUCCCACUGCUGGACAUGGAGGCUUCAUAUGCUGAAUAUGAGGAGUGGUCAGAAGAGCCCAUUCCAGAAACCACAAUAAAAAACUACAAAAAAGCUCUACAGCAGCUGGAGAAGUGUAAACCCUACGAGGAGGCACUGCUGGGUGCUGAAACCCCAAAGCUGGCAGAAUACCAAGCUUACAUUGAUUUUGAAAUGAAAGCAGGUGACCCAGCUCGGAUUCAGUUGAUCUAUGAGAGAGCUUUGGCUGAGAACUGCCUUGUCCCAGACCUCUGGGCACGCUACAACCAGUAUUUGGACAGGCAGCUGAAGGUGAAGGAAUUGGUUUUAUCCGCUCACGACCGCGCUGUCAGGAACUGCCCCUGGACUGUUGGGCUGUGGAUUCGGUACCUGCUGGCCAUGGAGAGGCACAGGGUUGAGCACAGCAUCAUUUCAGAAAUGUUUGAAAAAGCUCUGAAUGCAGGUUUUAUUCAAGCAACUGACUAUGUAGAGAUCUGGCAGGCCUACCUGGAUUACCUGAGGAGAAGGGUGGAUUUUACACAAGACUCCAGUAAGGAGCUGGAGGAGCUGCGCUCCGCGUUUGCACGAGCUGUGGAGUACUUGAAACAAGAAGUAGAAGAAAGGUUCAGUGAAAGUGGAGAUCCAUCCUGCACCAUCAUGCAGAACUGGGCAAGAGUUGAGGCCCGCUUGUGUAACAACAUGCAGAAAGCCAGGGAGCUCUGGGACAACAUCAUGACUAAAGGAAAUGCCAAAUAUGCCAACAUGUGGCUGGAAUAUUACAACCUGGAAAGGGCCCAUGGGGACACCCAGCACUGCAGGAAGGCCCUGCACCGGGCAGUGCAGUGCACCAGUGACUACCCCGAGCACGUCUGCGAGGUGCUGCUCACCCUGGAGAGGAUAGAAGGAACGCUGGAAGACUGGGAUGCAGCUGUUCAGAAAACUGAGAACAGAUUGGCUCGAGUGAAUGAACAAAGAGCAAAGGCUGCUGAGAAAGAAGCUGCUCUGGCAAAGCAGGAGGAGGAGAGAGCUGAGCAGAGAAAGCAAGCAAGGGCAGAGAAGAAAGCUUCCAAAAAAGCCAAAAAAACCAGGACUGGGGACAAGCGCAAAGCCGACGAGGAUGAUGAGGGUGAAUGGGGACAAGAAGAAGAGCUGCCCAGCAAGAGGCAGAGGGGAGAGGGUGAUGGAAUGCUCCCUGAAGAGGACAUGGAAGUGGAGACAGGGCUCUCUGGCAGGAGCGAGCAGCCCGAUGGCCCCGCAGCCCCGAAGGAAAAGGCGUCCACCAGCCGCAAGGACGUCCCCAAAGUGUUCCACGACAGCAGCAAGGACAAAGUCACCGUGUUUGUCAGCAACCUCUCCUACACCAUGGCAGAGCCUGAAGCCAAGCUGAGGGAGCUCUUUGGGAGCUGUGGGGAGGUCGUGGAGGUCCGAGCAGUGUUCAACAACAAGGGCACCUUUCGGGGCUACUGCUACGUGCAGUUCAGGGAGGAGGAGGCUGCUCGGCAGGCCCUGGCCUUGGAUCGCACGGCCGUGGAGGGCAGGCCCAUGUUUGUGUCUCCUUGUGUUGACAAGAACAAGAAUCCCGACUUUAAGGUGUUCAGGUACAGCACUACCCUGGAGAAGCAUAAACUCUUUAUAUCUGGUUUGCCAUUUUCCUGCACUAAGGAGGAGCUGGAGGAGGUGUGUAAAGCCCAUGGGAAUGUGAAGGACAUUCGACUGGUCACCAACAGAGCUGGAAAACCCAAGGGCCUGGCUUAUGUGGAAUACGAGAACGAAGCCCAGGCCUCUCAGGCUGUGCUGAAGAUGGAUGGGCUGACAGUGAAGGACCACGUCAUCAAGGUGAUGAUCAGCAACCCCCCUGUCCGGAAGCUUCCGGAGCGGCCCGACCCCAGCAAGGCCUCCCUGGUACCACCACGGCAGAUCUAUGGAGCACGAGGGAAGGGAAGGACCCAGCUCUCCAUGAUGCCCCGGGCACUGCAGCGUCAGAGCAACCCCGUGGCCAAGGCUGAGAAUGGGAUGGUCCAGAACUCACCAGCAGCGUCCUCUGAGGCCCCUGCAGAGCCUAAAAAGAUGUCCAAUGCUGAUUUUGCCAAGAUGCUCCUGAAAAAGUGAGCAAGGAGUGUGUACUCAGCGGGUCUGGUCCAAUGUGAAAUGCCUUUCUGGAAGCCAUGUUGUGUCCUUAAGCUUUGCAAGGAGAGAACGCCCGUCCCAAUCCCGUGUAAAUACUGGACUGCUGCAUUCCUCGGGAUCAGUGGAGGAUGGCACAAAUCCAGUUCUGCAGACAAGCUCCUUCCAACCCCUCCACUGAAAUGUCUAAGGACAGUUGUGCUUUCCCAGGGCUCCUCUUGGCUGAGAUUUUCUGAGUCCUCCCUCAACCAGCCUCGGGCAGGCCCACGGAGUACUCGGUGGUGGCGAUGAGCAGCAUGUCCAGCGUGGUCUCGGCGCACUUGGCGAUGAAGCGGAUGAAGGGCCGCACGUCGCCCUCGUUGGCCACCUCCAGCACGUGGUAAUACUCAGCCCUCUGCUCCUUGCGGAUGGUGAUGGGCGGGUAGCCCGCCUGCAUCAGGAUCAGGUUCAUCAGCAGCCGCGAGGUGCGGCCGUUGCCGUCCACGAAGGGGUGGAUGUAAACCAGCUUGUAGUGCGCCAGCGCCGCGAACUCCACGGGGUGCAGGCUGCUGGCGUCCUCCGAGUUCAUCCACUGCACGAACUCCUCCAUCUGCUUCUCCACGUCCUGCGGGUGCGGCGGGAUGUGGUGGCCCACGAAGACCUGCGUGGCUCGGAAGCGCCCGGCCUCCACGGGGUCGGCGUAGCCCAGCACGCGCCGGUGGAUGUCCAGGAUGUCCCUGCUGGUGACGGAGCCGAUGCGCGACACCAGCGUGGUGUUGACGAACUUGAGGGCAGCGUGCAUGCCCAGCACCUCGUUCUGCUCCGCCAGGCUCUUCCCGGGAACGGCGUACCUGUGGCACACGUGGGUUUUGUGAAAAAUCUUUUUGCACCAGCAGCUCCAGCCCCCGGGAGGUGACGCUCAGCUCGGUGCUCUGUCCCGUGAGCCUGCUGAUUCCCGAGGAGGAGCCCAGCCUGUUCCUCAGCAAGGACAGGCCCUUGAGCACAGCCUGGCACUGGUUGUCCAGCGGCAGCAGCAGCAUCACCAGUGAGCUCAGCAGCAGCACCAGCACGGCCGCCCAGCGCACACGGAGCCACAGGGACACCCACUGGAGCUCGGGAUCGGUCGCCAUCGCCACGAGAUUCAUCCUGAGUCCAGCACCGACACCUGGGGCAUCUCCCCUGUCACUGCUCCCACCUGGGAAUGCACAGAUUUAGCCACAGCUCUGUGCCGGGUAAGAGUGGGUCUGAGUGAUGCGCUCUGUGUCUGGGUGAUGUGCUGUAGGUCAGGGUGAUGUGCUCGGGAUCUGGGUGAUGUAGUCGGGGUCUGGGUGAUGUGCUCGGGGUUUGUGACAGCUGUCCCUGCCGUCCCCUUCCCUGCCACCCGCCAGCCCCGUAUGGGAUCCGCUCUCGCAUUCACUCCCACGGAUGCCCGGGAGCAGCGUGGGCACGGGGCUCUGCCAGUCGGUUCCGCGGGCAUCACGGAGCUUCCCGUCCCUUCCCCAUCCUCCUCCAGGCUUGUGCCCCCCGCCAUGCCAAGGGUUCCUGGAACCCCUCCCCAUGCUCCGCUUCUCCUGCAGCCACCGCUCCUUCCUCGAGCCCGAACCGGCCGGAAUCCCCCCCAGCACCCCGGCUCCUCUCUGCCCGGUGCACCCCAGGCUUUCCCCCCGAUCCCCUCUGCCCAAGACCCUCCGGUGCUGUCCCGGCCCCCUGCCCGGUGUCCCCCCGAUCCCCACUCACCUUUGCCGCCUCCCGGAGCCGCCCGCUGCCGGCUCUUGCAACCCCGCCCCCAGCCCCGCCCCCGCGCGCUCCCAUUGGCUGAGCCGCCCCCCGGUUCCUCUCCCAUUGGCUGCCGCAGCGGACGCGUCUCUCGCGCUCCUCCCCUCCGCUUCCUGCACCGGCUUCCGGGUAGCGCCGCGCCCCGGGCGCCAGAGAGGCUCGUGGAGGGUGG